UUAAUUAAGCACAGUCAGUACAGCAUGAGACUCUUAAUUUCAUGGUCAUGGGUUCAAGUCCCAUGUUGGGAAAAA